rnacentral:misc_RNA from 1 species
GUAUUUAUUAUAGUAGUUUACAUUCGUUACAUUAUGUUUGAUGAGUGCCCGAAGGCAAAUAGUUCACAGGUGUUAUAUUGAUAAAAGCUAGGCUCGAAAGCUUCGCCAUUUAUUAAUGAUCCUUCCGCAGGUUCACCUACGGAAA